UACGUAGGGUGCGAGCGUUGUCCGGAAUUAUUGGGCGUAAAGGGCUCGUAGGCGGUUUGUCGCGUCGGGAGUGAAAUCCACUGGCUUAACUGGUGGCUUGCUUUCGAUACGGGCAGACUGGAGGUAUGCAGGGGAGAACGGAAUUCCUGGUGUAGCGGUGAAAUGCGCAGAUAUCAGGAGGAACACCGGUGGCGAAGGCGGCAUCCUGGACCAAUACUGACGCUGAGGAGCGAAAGCCAGGGGAGCAAACGGG
rnacentral:rRNA from 1 species